UCCCGGUGGCCCGAGCUUCCUUUUCUGUGGAAGAGGCUUUUAAUUUUGCAAUAUCCUUUGCCGAGGGUUCAAUUUCUACCAUUGUUCAACAAAUGUCAGGUUAAACAGCUAUAUAUAUAGGCAUAAACAACCCCACUCACUCUUAGGGUCGCUAGAGAAAAAUCCUGUCGAGAAAAGAGAUUCAUCGGAUAAAAGCUCAUCCAGAUGAGGAGUGUUGCGAUC
rnacentral:lncRNA from 1 species